UUUCCCUUAGCCAACCCAGCCAGCCAGGUUUCAGCUGCCAGAAAAUGUGUUUCCCAUCUAACACUUCUUUCCCAAGGACAAAAUAUAAUGUGUCUAAAAAUGGUGAACUUCCUGUCUGGGCUUCCCUCACCCACCCCGCUUCCCCACUUAGGAAUAAGACUUGAGUAACAAAGAUUAGUUGGAAACCUAUUUUCCUUUGUACAUCCCAGAUCUCUGCUGGUUCAGUGUCUCGUGUCAGGUGAAAUUAUUCAUGAGGCUCUGAACAGAGUUGGUUGUCUUGUCAGGAAAAUGGCCAUGAGAAUAUGCAUUUAGAGAGCACAUCAAAAUCCUCGUGUUGAAAACAUCUUGGAGCAUCUUUGAGGAUUGCCACUUGACAGAGCCAGCCAGCACCACUGAAAACCACCUCUUCUGUGUUUUGAAAGCCUGGAAGCACCCCUAUCCUCCACCUCGCAGACCUCCCACUGAGUUUCAGUUUCCUAUCCAAACUCCAGAUUUGAGUUCUCAGCUCAUUUGAAGAACAUAAGAAGAGCUCACGGCACAUUCAAUUCAAGUCUUUCCUUCCUGGCUGGGCUUGCCAGUGGUCCCCAAUUCAGGGGAGGUGUGGUCUUGUCAAGUUCCAAGUCUGGCAGGGGCAAUCCUCAGACUUGUCAGAGGUUAGAGUGCCUGCAAAGUCGCAGUCAUCUCUGCAGGACACCAUGUCACCGAUUAGUCCCCUCAAAUUCAGCAAGAACUGACCCUGCUUUGGCAUGUGCUGUACUUUGAAGUCACAACUACCAUAAACAGGUUCACACACACACACACACACACACACACACACACACUAGGGGAACUAAAUUGAAGUCCCUGAUUGGCAGUUUCUGAAUAUUCUGGCCAUGCUAAUUUAAUUUGUUCAGCAAUUGUUUUAGCUUUCUGCCAGCAUUUGCUACCAGGUAACCAAGAGCAGUUAUCAAAGGUUGGAGAAAAACCUAGAGAAGUUAAAAAAUUUUAAAUUGACAGAGCUCUCCCCAUAUAGUAAGCGGAAUAAUAGCCUCCCCAAAAUGUCCACAUCCUAAGCCCCAGAACCCGUGUGACUCUUACCUUACAUAGCAAA